rnacentral:lncRNA from 1 species
CCCCUGUUGACUGAAGGGAUGUUGAUCUCAUCCCACCCCUAUGGGUAGGGCUCCUAUUCAUCUAAGAGCAGCAGCUACAGGUAUCCUAAAUCUUCCUGUUUUCAUUCAAGGUCCAUCCACCUUGCUUCCAAGAGAAAGCCUGAGGCCCAUCACCAAACUAUCAUCCAGUAGCCCUAACCUGUCACCAGGACACAUUUUGUUGAACAACAGAUUCCCGGAAGAAACUCCAG